rnacentral:rRNA from 1 species
CCUGCGGAAGGAUCACUA